rnacentral:rRNA from 1 species
CCCUACGGGGGGCAGCAGUGGGGAAUUUUGCACAAUGGGCGAAAGCCUGAUGCAGCAACGCCGCGUGUGUGAUGAAGGUCUUCGGAUUGUAAAGCACUUUCGACCGGGACGAAACCCGGAUGGCUAACAUCCAUCCGGCUGACGGUACCGGGAGAAGAAGCACCGGCUACUCUGUGCCAGCAGCCGCGGUAAUACAGAGGGUGCAAGCGUUGUUCGGAAUUAUUGGGCGUAAAGCGCGUGUAGGCGGCUUGGCAAGUCGGGUGUGAAAGCCCUCAGCUCAACUGAGGAAGUGCGCCCGAAACUGCUUUGCUUGAGUGCUGGAGAGGGUCGCGGAAUUCCCCAAGUAGAGGUGAAAUUCGUAGAUAUGGGGAGGAACACCGGUGGCGAAGGCGGCGACCUGGACAGUAACUGACGCUGAGACGCGAAAGCGUGGGUAGCAAACAGGAUUAGAAACCCUUGUAGUCCA